rnacentral:rRNA from 1 species
UAAGGAAUAUUGGACAAUGGAGGCAACUCUGAUCCAGCCAUGCCGCGUGAAGGAAUAAGGCCCUAUGGGUUGUAAACUUCUUUUAGACGGGACAAAACCCCUUUACGUGUAAAGGGUUGAUGGUACUGUCAGAAUAAGCAUCGGCUAACUUCGUGCCAGCAGCCGCGGUAAUACGAAGGAUGCAAGCGUUAUCCGGAAUUAUUGGGUUUAAAGGGUGCGUAGGCGGACUAAUAAGUCAGUGGUGAAAGCCUGCAGCUUAACUGCAGAAUUGCCAUUGAUACUGUUAGUCUUGAGUACAGUUGAAGUAGGCGGAAUGUGUCAUGUAGCGGUGAAAUGCUUAGAUAUGACACAGAACACCGAUUGCGAAGGCAGCUUGCUAAGCUGUAACUGACGCUGAGGCACGAAAGCGUGGGGAGCAAACA